GAGUGGCAGUCAUGACAGACCUGACCCGUACACCAGAGACUGCAGCGACCAGAAGGGUCCACAGGACGUGAAAAGCUCCAUCGACCACAGCUGAACACCGAACGUCGAAAUGAUGUUCGACCACGGCAAACUAGUUUUGUGCCUCGUUUUGCUCAGUUUCGGGGCGGAGAGGUCCGGAGCUGCACCACAGGCCGCCAUAUGUAAAGAACACAUCAAGGCGAAAUCGAAGUGCAUCGGUGUCGGUGCAUAUGCGAAUAUCGUCGGUAUUGCACAGUGGUGUGUGGACAACUGCUUCAACAAUCCGUCCUACUGUCCCUCGUCCCACUGCUACUGCUACUGAGGGUGGACUGCGCGAACCUGGGACUGGCCUACUGGACUCUGGGACUGAGAAUAACGAGCGCUGAGGCACCAGCACCCGUCCGACUGCACUGACCUGAGCACAUAGCGGUGAAUCAAAGCCAGGGCAGGCUGGGAUAAUGUGACUGAUUCUUUGUCUAUUGUUCAAUUUGUCCAAUGCAUGCACCAAUGGAGUCUGGAGAAUAAAAUAGCACGAGGGUU